AUCCAAGUGCAUGGGCAGUACGCAUACCAGUGAGGAUUCGUCCGAGGUUGCUUUUUUGCUAUUUGAAAACUAUUAUGUUUGACGGCUCCUGUUGGACUUUGGAUCGGCAGGGAAUUUUUGGUAACCCUUUGCUUUACGAAAAGCUUUUCAUCAGUUUUAUUUUGCUAAGGCAAGAACUUGGAGAAGAAAUUAGGG
rnacentral:snRNA from 1 species